AACGAACGCUGGCGGCAGGCUUAACACAUGCAAGUCGAUCGCUGUCUUCGGACAGAGAGGCGCACGGGUGAGUAACCCGUGGGAACAUGCCCUUAAGUACGGAAUAACACAUGGAAACGUGUGCUAAUACCGUAUACGCCCUACGGGGGAAAGAUUUAUCGCUUAAGGAUUGGCCCGCGUCCGAUUAGCUAGUUGGUGAGAUAAUGGCUUACCAAGGCUAUGACGGUUAGGGGGCCCGAGAGGGUGAACCCCCACACUGGGACUGCGACACGGCCCAGACUCCUACGGGAGGCAGCAGUUUGGAAUAUUGGACAAUGGGCGAAAGCCUGAUCCAGCGACGCCGCGUGGUGGAUGAAGGUCUUCGGAUUGUAAACACCUUUUGGCAGGGAACAAUUUUUGAGCGUACCUGCAGAAUAAGUGGUUGCUAACUCUGUGCCAGCCGCCGCGGUAA
rnacentral:rRNA from 1 species